UGGGGAAUAUUGGACAAUGGGCGCAAGCCUGAUCCAGCCAUGCCGCGUGUGUGAAGAAGGCCUUAUGGUUGUAAAGCACUUUAAGCGAGGAGGAGGCUACUUUAGAUAAUACCUAGAGAUAGUGGACGUUACUCGCAGAAUAAGCACCGGCUAACUCUGUGGCAG
rnacentral:rRNA from 1 species